CAGAGAUGAGACGUGUGACCCUUUCAUCCUUCUACCACAGCAACUUCAAGAAACCAGAGCGGGGGGGGGGGGAGAGAGAGAGAGACUGGGAGGAGCGACGGUUUGAGCUCCAGGUGGUCGAGCCUGCGUAAAAACUCACCAAACACACGCCAAACGCUUACGAAAUAGUGGGAAAAGCUAGAUCCUUGCACUUAUAUGAAUGAAUAAGUUGUUUUGAGAAAGCCUGCUGGAUUUGUUGCUGGAUAAAUUACCAAAAGAGCGUAACGUGCUUCGGUGGUGCGUCACUGCGAUCUCCACAGAAAUCGGACAAAACGGCAUCAAACAGGGUGAACUUUAGAUUCUUGGCCAAAAACGACGGCUUGUUUCAGCCACAAGUGGAGAUAUGUUCAAGAAAAGCAAGAGUAAAGUGCUGGUGGAUUAUGCGUCAGAGGAAGACGACAUGUCCUGGCACCAUCAACACUCCUACAAGGACAAAGACAUAGAAGGAGAGGAAGAGGAGGAGGAGGAAGCAGUCACUGCAGUAACCAAGCUGCCUCCCUGCUGCAUGUACAGCUACUGUAGGUGAUUAAGUUCACAGGACAUAUUUCACGACCUGUCCUGUUUGCGAGGACAAGGGUGGCUGAGCUGGGGAAGGGAAGGAAACGGAGCAUUCUUUCGAGGAGCUGGACAUUUUGGUCGGGAACAAUCACCGUGGAAGAAAAACAAGGCUGAAAAUAGCCACAGACUACUCUGACACCAUGGAAGGCUACCAUUCUUCCACCGUCGGCUGUUUUAUGCUCAUAUUAGGACACACAAAGCAGACAUUGAGUCCUGGAGGUGGAGGAUACCUUUCACUGUAAAGGCUGAUUCCAUUUUCAUUCUGCAGUGCUGUAUAACUAUUUUUCAACACAAAAUGCAUCAAGCUGUACUUGCAAAUCUUUCUUGAUUCCUCCCUAAAACAUAUAUUUCCUAAGCAGUCCUUAUGUCCUUAUUGAACAAACAGCUUGCACUAAACCCCCUGUAAAACAAUCUGUCAUUUUUAAACGUGUUGGUUUUUGUUACAGAUUAAACAAAUACGAUACAACAUGUUGAUUAGUGAGGUGAGGUAUGUUUCUGAUGGGUGGAUUUUGUUUCCCCCUGCUGACUCUACUGUCAUAUUGAAUGGUUGGACAGUAAUAUCAGUCUAACUGAAUAUAACUCUUAGCAAGAAUGCAAAUAAAUCUAUUUCUUCAAGUCAUUUAUCAAGCAAAAAAUACCAAACAUUUGCUCAUCCCAGCUUCUCUAAAGGGAGAAUUGUCUGCUUUGCUGCUCUG
rnacentral:lncRNA from 1 species